rnacentral:rRNA from 1 species
GGCAGCAGUGGGGAAUAUUGCACAAUGGGCGAAAGCCUGAUGCAGCAACGCCGCGUGAGUGAUGAAGGCCUUCGGGUCGUAAAACUCUGUCCUCAAGGAAGAUAAUGACGGUACUUGAGGAGGAAGCCCCGGCUAACUACGUGCCAGCAGCCGCGGUAAUACGUAGGGGGCUAGCGUUAUCCGGAUUUACUGGGCGUAAAGGGUGCGUAGGCGGUCUUGCAAGUCAGGAGUGAAAGGCUACGGCUCAACCGUAGUAAGCUCUUGAAACUGGGAGACUUGAGUGCAGGAGAGGAGAGUGGAAUUCCUAGUGUAGCGGUGAAAUGCGUAGAUAUUAGGAGGAACACCA